rnacentral:tRNA from 1 species
GUGGAAGUAGCUCAGCUGGUUAGAGCAUGAGAUUGUGGUUCUCAGGGUCGCGGGUUCGAAUCCCGUCUUCCACC